rnacentral:misc_RNA from 1 species
GGUUGGAUCAUUAACAAAAAUGUUACUUCUGCCAUGCUCCCCCGGGGGUGUGGUAGGGUAAAAACACCAUUUUGUCAACUGUUAUUGGGUGCAAGCCCAUUAUUUUCAACUAGAUUUUUGUAUUGUAACACCAACUAAAGUUGAAACUUUAAAAUUAAUUUAAACAACUUUUGGCAACGGAUCUCUAGGCUCUUGCAACGAUGAAGAACGCAGCGAAAUGCGAUAAGUAAUGUGAAUUGCAGAAUUCCGUGAAUCAUUAAAUCUUUGAACGCACAUUGCGCUCUCUGGUACUCCGGAGAGCAUGUCUGUUUGAGAAUCAGUUUAACUCUUACCUCUCUUUACUGAUGGGUAGAAUUGGGACUCUUUUACCGCAUGGUAAAAAGACCUGUAAUUUAAAUUUGACCUUCAACAUACGACUUGGAAGGCAUGACCAAUGGUUGCAAAACCUAACGAAUGCUGAUAACGAGUUGGUUGGCCGGUUUCAACUUUAUAUACACGAACUUGACUGUUCAAGACUUUGAUCUCAAAUCAGACAAGACUACCCGCUGAACUUAAGCAUAUCAAUAAGCGGAGGAAAAGAAACUAACAAGGAUUCCCCUAGUAACGGCGAGUGAAGCGGGAAUAGCUCAAAUUUGAAAUCUCUUGGGUCUACUCAAGCGAAUUGUAGUUUAAAGAAAUGUUUUCGGAGGCAGCCUAGGUCCAAGUCCCUUGGAACAGGGUAUCAUAGAGGGUGAGAAUCCCGUACUUGAUCUAGAACUGCUUCUAUGUGAUACAUUUUCAAAGAGUCGGGUUGUUUGGGAAUGCAGCCCAAAAUGGGUGGUAAAUACCAUCUAAAGCUAAAUAUUGGCAAGAGACCGAUAGCGAACAAGUACCGUGAGGGAAAGAUGAAAAGAACUUUGAAAAGAGAGUUAAAUAGUACGUGAAAUUGCCAAAAGGGAAACGUUUGAAACCAGUCUUGUUGGUAGAAUCCCAACUGGUCUAACGACCAGCAUAUGUUUCUGCUAGCAGGUCAACAUCGGUUUCGUUUGGAGUAGAAAACCAAGAGAAAGGUAGCCCCUCGGGGUGUUAUAGACUUCUGGCGAUGCUUUGGACGAGACCGAGGAACGCAGUGCAGCCUUGGGGACCCGUUUGCUAGUUGAAGUUAUUGUCUAGACAGCGUGCUGACUAGAUGGUGGAUUAGGCUAAUCAGGCGGUUUACCACACCUGUGCUUAGGAUGUUGACAAAAUGGUUUUAAACGACCCGUCUUGAAACACGGACCAAGGAGUCUAACACAUAUGCGAGUGUUUGGGUGCAAAACCCAGGACGCGUAAUGAAAGUAAUAAGGUGCGAUCUUCGGUGCAGCAUCGACCGGUCUGGAUUUUAAUGAUAGAUCUGAGUAAGAGCAUAUUUGUUAGGACCCGAAAGAUGGUGAACUAUGCCUGAAUAGGGCGAAGCCAGAGGAAACUCUGGUGGAGGCUCGUAGCGAUUCUGACGUGCAAAUCGAUCGUCAAAUUUGGGUAUAGGGGCGAAAGACUAAUCGAACCAUCUAGUAGCUGGUUCCCUC